GCGGGUCCCUGGCUAAGGCUCCUCCCCGACGAACCCCAUUCCUGCUUUCCCGCUCAAAUGUUGCAUUUUCUAAGACCUCCCUGGCCCGCCAUACGCCGAUCCUGAACCUACGAAAACCCAAGACUGCGGGCACGGUGGCUCAUGCCUGUAAUCCCAGCACUUUGGGAGGCCGAGGCGGGCAGAUCACGAGGUCAAGAAGUCGAGACCAGCCUUGCUAACAUGGCGAAACCCUGACUCUACUGAAAAUACAAAAAUUAGCUGGGCGUGAUGGCGUGCGCGCCUGUAGUCCCAGCUGCUCGGGAGGCUGAGGUAGGAGAAUCGCUUCAAUCCGGGAGGUGGAGGUUGCGGUAAGCAGAGAUUGCGCCACUGCACUCUAGCCUGGCGACAGAGACUCCUUCAAAAACAACAACAACAACAACAACAACAACAAAACAAAACCUCCCAAGACCCUAGUGGGCAGACACACAGCCAGCCAGACAUGGAGAGGAGCACAUUAGCAGAAGAAGACGCAAGUGGCUGGUCCUCGAGAGGACGUUGAGAGGAGCAUGCCAGCAGAAGAGCACACAACGACAGGCACCGACACACCACCGGCAGGCCAUGCACCAGCAGAAUGAUGCGGAGUUUGACGGGGCAGUCAGAGAAGAGCCUGGGCCGCCAAGGGGCCCGACUCCAGGGGAAAACCAUCUCCCUUCUGGCUCCCCCAUCUGCUGAGAGCUACUUCUACUCAAUAAAACCUUGCACUCAUUCUCCAAGCCCACGUGUAAUCCGAUUCUUCAGGCUGUGUCCUUUGCCUGGAAUGCUCUCUCUUGCUGGCUGGCUUCUUCCCACCAGCUGUGGCCAGGGCUGCUCCUUAUUCCUUCGUCAAAACUCCGUCUGCUGGGUGUGGUGCCUCACACCUGUAAUCCCAGCACUUUGAGAGGCCAAGGUGGGAGUAUCGUUUGAGCCCAGGAGUUCAAGACAAGCCUGGACAACAGAGCAAGACCCUGUCUCUACCAAAGAAAAGAAAAGAAAAGAAAAGAAACAGCCACUUUCUCUUCCAUGAGCCAGUUUAUGUUUUCUUCACGGCAUUUGUUACAAAUCACAAAUGUGGAGGAAAAAUGAAGGCAAAGCAAAAUAACAGGCAAGUCUGAAAACAAAAGUGUUGCCAGUCACGCUAAGCCUCAGGCACGCAUUCUGAAUGAAGCUAAAGUUUAAAGUCCCCUCUGAUAGAUUUGUGACUUAAAUGUCCACACUAGCAAGUGUGUUUCUCACAUGGAGAAGUAGCACGAUUUUAUGUCAGGAAAGGGAUGAGAACAUGCUUCUUGAACACAUACAAUGCUGAAGACAUUUCCUGGAAAACCAUUGGCCUUUGCUUAGGACAGUUGCAUCACACAGAGAUGUUUGUGGUUCAGAUUUAUAAGAAACAUGGGAACUGAAGCCAAAGCACUACUUUUGCUCAGUAUAACCAGGUGCCAGAUCUAAAGUGUUAGGCAGGUUCCUAUAUGUAUGUUAGAAAAAAGUUGCCCAAGUUUUGGACAAUUCCUUUUCCAUCUCUCUUACAAGUCAACAAAUCGAAGCAAUAAACUAUUCUCUGAAGAAAACAAAUUUAUUUGGUUGAUUCAAACUUUUAAUGAGACUAUUACUCCCCUGUGUGCCUUUCCUUUCUCUGGUUCUAGAAAUACAUCUAGAAAGGGGGAAAAUGUUAAUAUAUUUUCUACUGACUUUAUAUCACAAAUGCUUAGCUUAGAGGGUGGACUCUGAGGAACAGUGUCCUUUCCAAAUAUUAUAAAACUUUGUGUUCAUUCUGGAAAAACAAACAAAAUUAAUCACAAUGAUUUCCUGCUUUGGAGCAAUGAGAAAUGGGAGGGAAACUUCACCUUUUCAUAGCUUUUGAUGUUUGCACCAUGUGAAUUACCCACCCCCAAAUUUAAAAUACGAAUUUUUGAAAAAGUGUUUACCUCUGAGAAGAGAAACUAGUAGUGAAGAAUGAGGAGCUGUAGAUUUUUAACGAUUCUGAUGUAUUUGCAUUUUUCCCAAUGUUCAUGAAUAAAUAAAUGUGCAUUCAUAAUUAAAAAGAAUAAACAACCUGGAAAAAACAAAAAAAGCUCUGCGUUCACUGAUCUCUAAAUAAGAAAAGAUAAGACUUGUAGUGUGGCCUUGUACUUGUACAUCUUUUCCAUGUGCCAAAGAGCUACCCCAUGGUCAAGCCAAGUGGUGAUUAUGUAGCUUUCUCUGAACAGACAUAAUAGGGCUACACAUUCACUGUGAAAAAGCUGCAGACAGAUGACACCAGUCAACAGAACACCCUACACAGAAACUGUAAAACCAUUUUAAC
rnacentral:lncRNA from 10 species